rnacentral:lncRNA from 1 species
CGGACACAGCAUCUUUAUUUGUAUGUGGUACUGAGAAUCGAUCCCAGGCCGCACGCAUGCCAGGCGAGCGCGCUACCGCUUGAGCCACAUCCCCAGCCCCAGAUAGAUUUUAAUUUAGCUAUCCUUACUGCUUUACUUUAAACUGUACCCCCUGGACAUGGUGGUGGUCUCCUAUAACUCCAAUAACUUGGGAAACUGAGGCAGGAGGAUCAUAAAGUCAAGGCCAGCCUCAGCAAUUUAGGCAGACCCUCUCUCAGAAACAGUCUGGGGAUGUGUCUUAGUGGUUCAGUACUAAGGGUUUUGUCCCUCCUACCAAAAAGAUAAAUAAAAAUAAGCCACUCAUUUUACAUAAAAGCAAAAUAAGGUGAUUUAUUUUCAUAGAACUGUGUUCUAAGAGACUUAUAUUCUCAUUCUGUGCUUUUGACAAUGUUAUAUACCAGUCCAGUAAUUCUUAGCUUAUUUCAUACUUUUUAAGUUUUCUAGAAGUGGUAGGUAGUCAUGUAAUUCAUUCCUCGGCAGGGAUUUGUCUUUAUCGUUCACUGCUCUGUAUAUAUCCCUGUGAAGUAGGACAGUGCCUGGCACAUAAUAAGCACUUACUGAAUGAAUGUAAAAUAUUAGUUUAUAAAUAUACUCAUUUAGCAACCAUGGUACCCAUCAUGCUUAUUGAAGGGCUUCAAAAGACAUCACUAACCCACAGUUUAAGCCACAUUGAAGUACAUCUAAAAUAAGGUCUAGUGAUUAUACCUUAACUUACCCCGUAAGUGUCCAAAAGUUUCUCAGAAAAUCUUAGAAUCAGUCCUGAUUCUAAGAAAAAGUAAUCCUUUCAGGCUAUUUUUGAAUAGAGGUGAGUCAUGGUGACAUGGCAGCCAUUCCCAUUUAUUGGAGCUAACUUAAAGGGGUGGUAGGAAGUGACAGAUGGUUUUGCUUCAACUACCCCAACACUGUUCUUAGCCCUUCCUUUAUUUUAGUCUACCUGAUGAAAAUUCUCUUCUUAAGCUUGCUUCAUAGACUUAGAAAUUAGGCUUAUAAUUCUCAAUGGGAUCUAGUUCAAGGCUAUCUCAUGCAUUGUUAGUGACUGGUAAUUGACCAUUAAUUUGAUGGUAAUUACACUAGGUAUAAAGUUGUUUACAUUCCAGAGGAACUAGCUAAUCUCUACUCCCACCCCAGUCUAGACUGAAACAGGGACUGACUAAAACACAUCGGAUUCAAGCUAAGCCAUUUCUUGAUGCUAUUGAAUGCUACUCUUUAGGUUAUCUUAGUGUAUUAUUUAUAAACAUUUUUUUCCAGUCCUGCCUACAAAUAUUUUCGGUAGGUAUUAGUUUUCUUGCCUACCUCUAUAACCAAGGAGAGGACUUACUCUGAAAGGUGAGUAAUAGAAGGAGCAAGGUUUGUUUCCUAUUUGUAAUUGCCAGGUUUUCACAUCUGUACAGUUAUAUAUCUCACCUUUUGUAAAUAGAAUUUACUAGAAAAAUGGCAUAUUUUACUAAAUGAGUUGGAUUCGUGUCAACAUUUUUCUUUUAGCAUCCUUUAGGCAGCAAGCAGUUCUCUGAGUUGUUAAAUGCCCACAUCCUGUUUUCUCAGUGUAAUAUGUUUAAAAU